ensembl:rRNA 5S_rRNA 5S ribosomal RNA
UGCCACAGCCAUGUCACCCUGCACCCCAAGACUGGUUACUCACUAAAGCUAAGCAGGGCUAUGCCCGAGCAAUACCUGGAUGGGAGACCACAUGGGAAAAGUAGAUUGCGUUGGAAG